GAAAGUGUUAAUUGUGUAUUUAUUAAACUAUAUGGUGGCCAUUUGUGUGAUGUUUGGCUUGAGGGUCUGUCAUAAAACGCGCACCUUAUUACCAUGCUAAAAAAUGUUAAAUGCCAUUUAGUGCUAGACAAAGAUGGCCCCCAGAGCCCAGAGCCAGAGCCACUGAAGCGGCGCAAUAGCACCAACAAUAGCGUGUUGUUGGUGUUACUGUUAUUGCCCUCGUCAUUGCUAUACGUCUUCAUGCUGCGUCCCGUUGCGAAGGUCAGCUUGUUGUUGCGUUUCUUAGUUUUGUUUACACAAACGCCUGUUGGCAGUUGUUGUUUUUGCUCUUUGCGAAUCGCAGGCCAAAACCGAACUGUGCUAAUUGUGUGUGUCACUGAAAUGAAGUUAACCGAGUUAAACAGGUCGUCUGGAGUGCACGCACGUAGCUAUUUAACCAUUAAGUGUAGCAGCCGAUAGCCAACAACCGCCCACAGCCCUAUUUGACCUUAUCGAGUAUCGGUCAGCAGAUACGCCACUCAUUCAGUGAUGCUGUGAAAACACCUCGUUGCAAACCACCUAAGAUUAUGGCCGGCUUAAAAAUG